ACAGAGUGACAGGUGGUGCAUGGUUGUCGUCAGCUCGUGUCGUGAGAUGUUGGGUUAAGUCCCGCAACGAGCGCAACCCUUGAUCUUAGUUGCCAGCAUUUAGUUGGGCACUCUAAGGUGACUGCCGGUGACAAACCGGAGGAAGGUGGGGAUGACGUCAAAUCAUCAUGCCCCUUAUGACCUGGGCUACACACGUGCUACAAUGGAUGGUACAAAGGGCAGCGAAGCCGCGAGGUGGAGCCAAUCCCAUAAAACCAUUCUCAGUUCGGAUUGCAGGCUGCAACUCGCCUGCAUGAAGCCGGAAUCGCUAGUAAUCGCGGAUCAGCAUGCCGCGGUGAAUACGUUCCCGGGCCUUGUACACACCGCCCGUCACACCACGAGAGUUUGUAACACCCGAAGUCGGUGGGGUAACCGUAAGGAGCCAGCCGCCUAAGGUGGGACAGAUGAUUGGGGUGAAGUCGUAACAAGGUAGCCGUAUCGGAAGGUGCGGCUGGAUC
rnacentral:rRNA from 1 species